rnacentral:tRNA from 1 species
GGAGAGAUGUCCGAGCUGGCCGAAGGAGCACGACUGGAAAUCGUGUAUGCUGCCAAAAGCGGCAUCGAGGGUUCGACUCCCUCUCUCUCCGCCA